rnacentral:rRNA from 1 species
UACGUAGGUGGCAAGCGUUGUCCGGAUUUAUUGGGGUUAAAGGGUGCGUAGGCGGUCUAUUAAGUCAGUGCUGAAAUAUCCCGGCUUAACCGGGAGGGUGGCAUUGAUACUGAUGGACUUGAGUGCAGUCGAGGUAGGCGGAAUUGACGGUGUAGCGGUGAAAUGCUUAGAUAUCGUCAAGAACACCGAUAGUGAAGACAGCUUACUAGACUGUAACUGACGCUGAGGCACGAAAGUGUGGGGAUCAAACAGG